rnacentral:rRNA from 1 species
GAUGAACGCUGGCGGCGUGCCUAAUACAUGCAAGUCGAGCGAACAGACGAGGAGCUUGCUCCUCUGACGUUAGCGGCGGACGGGUGAGUAACACGUUGAUAACCUACCUAUAAGACUGGGAUAACUUCGUGAAACCGGAGCUAAUACCGGAUAAUAUAUUUAACCGCAUGGUUCAAUAGUGAAAGACGGUUUUGCUGUCACUUAUAGAUGGAUCCGCGCCGCAUUAGCUAGUUGGUAAGGUAACGGCUUACCAAGGCAACGAUGCGUAGCCGACCUGAGAGGGUGAUCGGCCACACUGGAACUGAGACACGGUCCAGACUCCUACGGGAGGCAGCAGUAGGGAAUCUUCCGCAAUGGGCGAAAGCCUGACGGAGCAACGCCGCGUGAGUGAUGAAGGUCUUCGGAUCGUAAAACUCUGUUAUUAGGGAAGAACAAAUGUGUAAGUAACUAUGCACGUCUUGACGGUACCUAAUCAGAAAGCCACGGCUAACUACGUG